rnacentral:lncRNA from 1 species
UGGGUAGUGAGCAUCAUUUGCAGAAAGAUUUGCAAAAACCUUACCAGCCCAUAGAAAUGAUGCCCCGCUAGGCUUUCAAGUGGCCCUGCCCUCCUGGCCCAGAGCAGCUAAGUGGCUGCCCAGACUUCCUCAGCCUCGUUGCCAACCACGGCCCAGAGAACAGGCGGUGACAGGACCGGGAUGGGGCUGCUGUGGGCCAGGAGCCCAGAACAGCGGCUCUUGACUCAAGGAGAGAGAAGUGGCUGUAAAGAGUGACGUUUCUCAGGGUUUGCUGACCCCUGGGCUCCAGGCUAAUCUUGCCCUUUCUCCUCAGUGGGGUAGUGUCAGCAAUCAUACAUUUACAUGAGGGGCCUUUUCUCCACAGAUCACACCACCCCCUUCCUGGUUGCUAAAAGGCCAUUUAAUAUGCAGAAGCUGUGCUAGAACAGCGUUAGGUUGUGACAUGAGGAAAUGGAAAAAAAAAAAAUCUGAGCCCGAACUCUGUCCUUCAGUUGUCCUCCUCUGAGAGUACCGCCGAUGGCCAAGGACAGAACGGGUGUGUUGUGCCUCUUGGGCUCAGCAAACAGGAGGAACACGGAGGCCGCUGAGGCUGUUUGCAAAAGACUGUCAAGGCUCACACAAGUUCUCAUGUUCAAGUUGGUCCGAGGGCUGGAGGGCCUUGAGUUUUCCCUCCCUCCAGCUGGCCGACUCUGGGAUGCUUCCAGACAGCCUCUCGGAGGUGAGAGAGGAAGGAACAUUAACUCUGCAACUUAGCCCCUCGGAAAAGUGCGUCCACUCACUGGUGACUACCUCGCUUAGCCAUUAAAUGUCAUGGCAGCCCAUGCGCACAGGAAAGAGAAUCUACAUCUGGCAGUAAAAAAAGGUGAUGAAAUGAAAGAAGUUGUGAAGUGACAUUUUUUUCCAGCAGGUUUGUCAUAUCUCCUGCAUGGAGGAAAAUUGCUUUCUGUAAAUCUUGGUCCAACAGAACAAAACCCCUAUUUCUUUCCAGUUGGGGAGACAGCCAUUCUCAUCGGCAUAAUGAAGGUAUUGUAAGCUGUGACUUUUACAAAGUCUGAGGGAAAGCAAUCUGCAAUCUUGGCAGAUAUGAUCUUUCCAGGAUGCACC